UACAGAGGGUGCAAGCGUUAAUCGGAAUUACUGGGCGUAAAGCGUGCGUAGACGGCCAUGUAAGUCGGGUGUGAAAGCCCCGGGCUCAACCUGGGAAUUGCAUUCGAGACUGCAUGGCUAGGGUGCGGAAGAGGGAAGCGGAAUUUCCGGUGUAGCGGUGAAAUGCGUAGAUAUCGGAAGGAACACCAGUGGCGAAAGCGGCUUCCUGGUCCAGCACCGACGUUCAGGCACGAAAGCGUGGGGAGCAAACAGG
rnacentral:rRNA from 1 species